AGUGGCUGCAUAUUUUCAACAAAUCAUGCUGGAGAUAUAUAAAGGAUUGGAUAUAUAAACUACAAUAAGGUCUAAAAUCAAACCCAGAGUGGAAUGUAUGUGAUCAAAUGCAGAUUUACAGACACAGGAGUGAGGAGUGAAAAUGGAUUACUCGGUUCGAGUUGGUUGCGUGGAGAGAACCUGACAACUGGGCUGACUGGAGAAUAAUGGUGUCUGGUUCUAAAUACAGCCGACGGGGGAGACCGAGACGGCCUGUAGCAGAAUGCUUCUCCUUGGGGAGAGGGACACAGCACAUGCACACCCACACAGCCUGAGGUUGCCAGAAGACAUGUUGACAACGUGCUGCCAAUACGCCCGAUAAGAGAAACAAAGAGGUCAUGAGCAUCGGUCUAGGAGGCGCCCUCUAAUGGUGACAGAUCACAGCCAUCUUGAGACGCUUGAAGACUGAUGGAGAGGGACAAGCGACCUUUAGUGAAGAUCAAAGUCACACAGGUCACGCAUGUUUGGCUGUUUAAGUCUUUCAUCUUAAAGCACGUCUGAGAGUUCUGACCCCAACCUGUUGAUCCAGGUGACCCUCGUGUAAAGGCCUAAAGGAGCACCUGCCCAGGUUUGACAAGAGUACCUAGAUCAAUUGGGCUGCAGCUGCAGAGGCCAUGGAAGUCAGGCAGAUGGAGAAGAUUGGGGUUAAAUCUUGCCUGACCCCUUGAAGAAAGACUGCAAAGAUUGUCUCAGUGUCUCCUGUGGCUGAUCAAGGAACAAGUUAAUGCAAGGUUGGAUGUUUGUCCUCGGGUCAAGGCUUUACAUUGUAGACCUUUAACUACACAUCUACCAAAACCAUCUGGCGUAGCUUUAGCCCAAAGGCACUCUGGCCUUCCACUUCAAACCCAAUUAGCCAAAUCACAUUUCAAAUGUGCUCAAAUAUACCUGCCAGUGGAUAAACUCUUCAGGUGUCAAAGAGCUGCAUUAAACCCGAGGCUGGCCAAGUACAGAAUAGGAUGGGAUUAGAGCUAACAAAGGACCGAAGAUAUCCCCUAACACCUGUGCAGGUACGAUGGCUACAGGAGUGCCUGCUAAUGGGAAAAGCCUUUGGUCCAAUUUGCAGGUGCUCAGAACAUAAUCCUCUGGCUUGCAGCACAGCGUGGGUAUCUAUUUUCCACUCUACCUGCUUUCUAGAUUCACACCUUGCCUGACAGGCCAAGGGCUUCCUUCCACCCUUGCAACAUAAGCCAAGUAAUCAAUCAUUUACAUCAGUAAUUAGGUCCGGGUGUCAAAACAGGAAUUGAAGCCAAGCUAGGACACUCAGUGUGUCUAUAGGGGUUGACGUCAAGCUCAUAAAGUGUGAGGGGACGGUGAAAGAUCUUAGCUUUGCACUCUUGUGGGUGUUAGUAUGUUAUACUGCGGUCCAGUUCCCUGAGGUUCAGACAUUCUACACCACAAUUAUGCAAGGAAUACUACUCGGUAAAUUUUCACCCUAAGGUUACACACUAUCUGAAUGUAGGCACCGGGAGUGUUGAGCACAUGUACAUGCUUUUCUUAAAUUUAGACACCUAUCAGUUAACAAUAAAACUGUAAAGAUAAAAAAAGCCUUUGUC